rnacentral:rRNA from 1 species
CCUACGGGUGGCAGCAGUGAGGAAUAUUGGUCAAUGGGCGCGAGCCUGAACCAGCCAAGUCGCGUGAGGGAAGACGGUCCUAUGGAUUGUAAACCUCUUUUGCCGGGGAGCAAAAGACGCCACGCGUGGCGUUCCGAGAGUACCCGAAGAAAAAGCAUCGGCUAACUCCGUGCCAGCAGCCGCGGUAAUACGGAGGAUGCGAGCGUUAUCCGGAUUUAUUGGGUUUAAAGGGUGCGCAGGCGGAAGACGAAGUCAGCGGUAAAAUUGAGAGGCUCAACCUCUUCGAGCCGUUGAAACUGGUUAUCUUGAGUGAGCGAGAGGUAUGCGGAAUGCGUGGUGUAGCGGUGAGAUGCAUAGAUAUCACGCAGAACUCCGAUUGCGAAGGCAGCAUACCGGCGCUCAACUGACGCUCAUGCACGAAAGUGUGGGUAUCGAACAGGAUUAGAUACCCCUGUAGUC